UACGGAGGGUGCAAGCGUUAUCCGGAUUCACUGGGUUUAAAGGGUGCGUAGGUGGGCAAGUAAGUCAGUGGUGAAAUCUCCGGGCUUAACCCGGAAACUGCCAUUGAUACUAUUUGUCUUGAAUACUGUGGAGGUCAGCGGAAUAUGUCAUGUAGCGGUGAAAUGCUUAGAUAUGACAUAGAACACCAAUUGCGAAGGCAGCUGGCUACACAAAUAUUGACACUGAGGCACGAAAGCGUGGGGGAGCAAAC
rnacentral:rRNA from 1 species